ensembl:misc_RNA Metazoa_SRP Metazoan signal recognition particle RNA
GCUGGGCUUGGUGGCGGAUGCCUGUAGUCCCAGUUACUCAGGAGGCUGAGACAGGAGAAUUGCUUGAGCCCGGGAGGCGGAGGUUGCAGUGAGCCAAGAUCAUGGCACUGCGUUCCAGCCUGGGCAAUAGAGCAAGACUCUGUCUCAA